UGGUCAGUCAGAACCUCGUCAUUUAAGGCC
rnacentral:piRNA from 1 species